AACGAACGCUGGCGGCGUGGAUUAGGCAUGCAAGUCGAACGGGAAUCUGGAGGUUCAAGUUUUCGGACAAGAACUUUCGGAGGAAAGUGGCGGAAGGGUGAGUACAACAUGGAUAAUCUACCUUCAAGUUGGGUAUAGCUUCCCGAAAGGGGAGAUAAUCCCGAAUGUGGUGAUCCGGCGCCUGUCGGAGAAUCCAAAGGUGGGGACCGCAAGGCCUGCCGCUUGAAGAUGAGUCCGUGCACUAUCAGCUAGUUGGUGAGGUAAUGGCUCACCAAGGCGAUGACGGUUAGCUGGUCUGAGAGGAUGGUCAGCCACACUGGGACUGAGAUACUGCCCAGACUCCUACGGGAGGCUGCAGUCGAGAAUAGUCUACAAUGGUCGGAAGACUGAUAGUGCGACGCCGCGUGAACGAUGAAUCCCUUCGGGGUGUAAAGUUCUUUUAUAUGUGAGCAGUGCUUCUUAUAUUAACAGUAUGGGGAGAGAGAUAUU
rnacentral:rRNA from 1 species